CAUUUUCUCUGACUGGUGACAGCAGCUGGGGCCCAAGAGACCCCGGGUGAGAGGGGUGGGCAUGAGGCCGUGCGGUGCAGGGGUCUCAGGGCAAGGCAGUGAGGAGCUAAGAGCCCCCAACCAACACCAGCAAGGACACAGGACCUCAGUCCUACAGCCACAAGGAGCUGGAUUCUGCUGACACCCCCAGAUAAGCCCAGGAGCCUCCAGGCGAGGGCCCGGCCCUGCUGAUACCUUGAGGUCAGCCUUGUGAGACCCUAAGCAGAUAACCCACUGAGCCCACGCAGACUUCUGGCCUCCAGGACUGUGAAACAGCAGAGCAGAGGCCCCUGUUUUAAUAGGUGAUUGCUUGGUGUUGGCCUGGCCUUCCCAAAGACACUGAGAGUCCCCGAAUCAGAUUCAAGUUUCCAUGUCUUUGCAUCCUGAGGGGUGAGCAGAGGACUUUGCAUCCAGUAGAUGGGUUCCUUCAGGCUUCCAGGUCAUGACUACAAGGUGCCUCUUCCCAAAUGCCAGCCCCCAUCUCAGCCCAUUCAACUCCGGUCGAGGGAAACCUCACCUCCUCUGCAGCCCCCACCACAGCCACCAUCCCAGAAUCUGCGCGGAGGUCUCCAGCCUGAGGUCUGGAGCCACUGCUGUGUGCAAACCGUGGCUUCUCCAGCCCAGCCUCCUCAUCUGUAAAAUGAGGGUGAGACUUGUUCUC